GACGAACGCUGGCGGCGUGCUUAACACAUGCAAGUCGAACGGAAAGGCCUCUUUCGGGGGGUACUCGAGUGGCGAACGGGUGAGUAACACGUGAGUAACCUGCCCUUGACUUUGGGAUAACUUCAGGAAACUGGGGCUAAUACCGGAUAGGAGCUCCUGCUGCAUGGUGGGGGUUGGAAAGUUUCGGCGGUUGGGGAUGGACUCGCGGCUUAUCAGCUUGUUAGUGGGGUAGUGGCUUACCAAGGCUUUGACGGGUAGCCGGCCUGAGAGGGUGACCGGCCACAUUGGGACUGAGAUACGGCCCAGACUCCUACGGGAGGCAGCAGUGGGGAAUAUUGCACAAUGGGUGGAAGCCUGAUGCAGCAACGCCGUGUGCGGGAUGACGGCCUUCGGGUUGUAAACCGCUUUCGCUCAUGACGAAGCUUUGUGUGACGGUAGUGGGUAAAGAAGCACCGGCUAACUACGUG
rnacentral:rRNA from 1 species